AGAAGUGAUGAGUCAGCACGGGUGAGCAAGUGUUGUGGUCUAUUUCUGCAUCACAAACAGCAAACAGCAAGGCCCUUGUUUGGUCAGUAAAACCAGAAGGGGCAAAAGUGCAGCUUAUUCGAAUCUGUCUUGUCUUCAUCACUGGAGACCUAGAGGAAAAUAUCUGGGUUAGAAAAUGGUCUUUUCCCUGGUCAGCUCUGACUGCCUUCAAGUGAGCUACUUACUUUUCAGUAGAAGAACCUGAGGAAUUGACAAGAGUGAAGCCACCACCCAGCCUGUCCAAAUUCUGAGCUAAGCUACAAGAUCAUCAGUUCGGCCAUCCUCACCAGAGUGAUGCUUUCUCGGACACAAGAUGAAUACAAUUCUUCUCUGCCUUUUAAAUUUAUUACAGCGAGGUAAAAGUGUCAAAACAGAAAGAUCCAUGCUCUAACUCUACCAGCUGAUGAAAGCAGGAGACCCCUGUGAUUCCAAUCCGCAACUUCAGAGACAGAAAAGUGGGGUGACAGUGGAAGAGGAACACUAAGAAGAAAACUUACACGACCGAUUCAGGUCAAGGCCAAAAACCAGAGCUGAAGACGCAGUUAGGUUUGUGAGUCCUAGUUCUUUUUCAUCUUCUCAUUCAUGGGAAAGUUGUAUGACUUGUCUUCUGAAUAAAUUGAACUCUAGAGGCUCUGCACUCAGAGACUUCCUUUCACAGGAAAAUGGGUUUUGGUUCUGGAUUAUAGACAAAAUG